rnacentral:rRNA from 1 species
UCGAGAAUUUUUCUCAAUGGGCGAAAGCCUGAAGGAGCGACGCCGCGUGGGGGAUGAAGGGCUUCGGCUUGUAAACCCCUGUCAUUUGCGAGCAAACCUUAUUUGUGAAUAGCAGAUGAGUUGAUAGUAGCGAAAGAGGAAGGGACGGCUAACUCUGUGCCAGCAGCCGCGGUAAUACAGAGGUCCCAAGCGUUGUUCGGAUUUACUGGGCGUAAAGGGUGCGUAGGCGGUCAUGCAAGUUUGAUGUGAAAUCUCCAGGCUUAACUUGGAAACUGCAUUGAAUACUGUGUGGCUUGAGGUUCGGAGGGGAGACUGGAAUUCUUGGUGUAGCAGUGAAAUGCGUAGAUAUCAAGAGGAACACCAGUGGCGAAGGCGAGUCUCUGGACGAAAUCUGACGCUG